CGGGUCUCCUUACUGCAACGUGUGCUUGAUGAGCAGAGCAGUGUCCCAAGUGAGCAGAGGUGGACGUUGAUUUUCCUAUCCAAGCUAGCUUGAGAGACAAGGCAGGGCUUGUGCUAUGAAUCACUGCAGGACACAGCAAGUCGUUAACCUGUGAUGGGCAUCAUUUUCCUAUAAAAUCAACAACAUCGUUAAACAUAGGAUUGCUGAGUUCUGGUGUCAUUCCAUUACUCUGAGAGUAGAAACUGAGAGAGAUGAUGAAGAAAAGGACUUCAAAGACUGUCUGGUCUUCAUGCCCCUGCACCGUUAAGUCCGAGCAUCGGGUGAGGCCCGCGUUCCUGCGGCCACGGACGGGAGGGAGGCCCCAGCGAUCCCAAACACGGAGUCCUGGACAACUCCCCACGCCCUCCCAAUGCGCGAAGGCUAGGCUGUCCCCGGGGCCCUCAGGGAGCAGCGCCCCACCCAGGAUGCAAGGACUCGGACUGGCCGGGCUCCACGCAGGCGCACUGAAGCCCGGGCAGGGGCGUGU